UACGGAGGGGGCUAGCGUUGUUCGGAAUUACUGGGCGUAAAGCGCGCGUAGGCGGACCUGCAAGUCGGGGGUGAAAGCCCGAGGCUCAACCUCGGAACUGCCUUCGAUACUGCGGGUCUCGAGUCCGGGAGAGGUGAGUGGAAUUCCUAGUGUAGAGGUGAAAUUCGUAGAUAUUAGGAAGAACACCGGUGGCGAAGGCGGCAUCCUGGACCGGUAUUGACGCUGAGGCGCGAAAGCGUGGGGAGCGAACAGG
rnacentral:rRNA from 1 species